rnacentral:tRNA from 8 species
GGUGGGGUUCCCGAGCGGCCAAAGGGAGUAGACUGUAAAUCUGCCGUCAUCGACUUCGAAGGUUCGAAUCCUUCCCCCACCACCA